GAAAAAAAAGCAUAUGGUUAUCUAUUGGUCUACAUAGUUUACUGUUGCAUGGGUAGACAGAAGCUUUCAGUAAAACUAAAGGGACCUUUUCUGAUCAAACCCUGUGUAUGGCUGAUAUAUGUUCUGCCAAUCCAGCCUUGUUUGAGUUUAAGGGUGCCUUCUGGCCUGGGGUCAAUUUCUCUGUGAUUGGUUUAAUGUCAUUUGCCCAUAAGCAUACAUUGCAGGGUGCUGCCCAAGGGCAAGUGCACAGCUUAGGUACAUCAUCUCAUUUACAAAUCACCAUCCGGCCAUGUCUAUGAGCACUGAGAUAUGAAUCAUCAUUAUUUAUACACUUUAGUCAUAUUUGAAGUUCUUCUUACUAACCCUAUAAAACUCUCAAAUGAAUUAGAAUCCUCAAAUUCACAUAACUAUCCUAUCCAUUUCCUGUAGGCAGAGCCAUAUGCAAAACUAACCCAUUAUUGAGAGGUGCUUGGUAAACAUAGGCACAGAACAGACUCUAAUCACGUCUUGUAAAUCUGGGGUCCAUUAUAAAUAAUAAAUAAAGUUUUAUUGAAACACCAUUAUGCAUAUUCAUUCAUUUACUGUCUGUGACUAUUCUUACAUUACAACAAUAGAGUUGAGUGGUAACAACAGUGAUCUACAGCUGAAAAAGCUGAAAAUGUUUACUAUCUGGCCUAGGCCAGAAAACUAUACUUUCUAUCAUGUGUCCUUGCCGUGUAGGCAGGUGACUUAUGGAGAAAUGGGAUGAAAAAAAUGGACAUGGUGAGUCAAUCAUCAGUAGAGUUGAAUUGAAAGAAUGCCAUUAGUUGGAGUCAGAGUCAUGGCAAGAGAGAGAGAGUGUAAGGUAAAGUUGUGAGGAAGAAGAAACCAUGCAUUAAGAAGAGAAACCUGGUCAGGAGACAGAAGGCUGUACAACAACCCAGAAAAAACAAAACAAAACAAAACGAAAAAAAAAGAAAAAAAAAAAGAGAUGCCAUAAGAUGAGAGAAAGAAAGAGAGAGGCAGAGACAGAGACUGAGAGACUGAUCAUCUGGCAUAUGGCCCUGAGGCAGAGAUUAGCUUGUUCCUCAACUUCCCUAGGUUUCUGAUAGCUGUUCAGUUCACAGACACAUGCAUGUAAUGCCCCUGACCUCCAGGACCCCCAUCUAUGGACAGCAAGGAGCUCUUUUUGCAAUCAAAAGAGAGGGACCAAAACAGAUCAUUAUGUAUUGCGCCAUAAUGAGGCAAAUUUAUUUCUCUUAUUUGUAAGUUCCUAUGGGAAUGACUCCCCCAUUAGAUCACAGUAUUGACGAUAAGCAUGAAUAAGCUAAUUUGGGUAGAAAAGUCACUUCAUGUAGUAGAAUGUAAUGUUGACUGUUAAGAUAUCUCAUACAUCAUGAAAUUAAAUAAGAUUUCCCUUUUAUUUCAUUUGUUCAGCCACUCAGUAAAUAUUGAAGACCUAUUAAGUAUAAAGAAGUGCAAGACAGCUUGAUGGAUUAGAACAUGUAUGUAACAAACCCACUCCCAGGGAACAUGUACAAUCUUGUAUGAAAGUUGAGACAGAUACACUGAUGACUACCACACAGAGAAACCUAUGAGGUCUUCUGUUUGAAAUAUCUCAGAAGAAAAAAAAAGAAAAGCCUACGUGUGUUUAUGUGGAGACACAUUCCAAAGAAGGGACAUGUGGCUGGUUAUACUCAAGGUGGUUAUGUUCAGUUAAUCUACCAAACUGGAUG
rnacentral:lncRNA from 1 species